rnacentral:misc_RNA from 1 species
AUUUUCUAUUAUUAGAAAAAUAUAAAUCAAUAAAUUCACUCGAUUUCUUAUGGAUGUGAGAAGUGCAAUUGAGUUCACUAAUUGACUAGUAAGUGAGAAAGGCAGCAUCAUCCUGCUAAACCUGCAGGGAAAUACAUGUUCUCGUAGUAGGACAAAGAUGAUUCAGCACAGUGCAGAAGAAAAAGAUGAUACAUUAGCUAACACACUUAAAG